AACGAACGCUGGCGGCAUGCCUAACACAUGCAAGUCGAACGAGACCUUCGGGUCUAGUGGCGCACGGGUGCGUAACGCGUGGGAACCUGCCCUUAGGUUCGGAAUAACUCCCCGAAAGGGGUGCUAAUACCGGAUAAUGUCUUCGGACCAAAGAUUUAUCGCCUUUGGAUGGGCCCGCGUUGGAUUAGCUAGUUGGUAGGGUAAAAGCCUACCAAGGCGACGAUCCAUAGCUGGUCUGAGAGGAUGAUCAGCCACACUGGGACUGAGACACGGCCCAGACUCCUGCGGGAGGCAGCAGGGGGGAAUAUGGGACAAUGGGCGAAAGCCGGAUCCAGCAAUGCCGCGGGAGUGAUGAAGGCCUUAGGGUUGUAAAGCUCUUUUACCCGGGAUGAUAAGGACAGUACCGGGAGAAUAAGCUCCGGCUAACUCCGG
rnacentral:rRNA from 1 species